GGAGCAUUAGUUCAGUGGAAGAACAUUGGUCUGAUAAACCAAAAACCCGAGUUCGAUUCUCGGAUGCUCUAC
rnacentral:tRNA from 1 species